CAAAAAUAAUUUAAAAAAAAUCUUGUCUUUACAAAACAACAAAUAAGGGCCAAUCCCUUUUUUUGAAU
rnacentral:tRNA from 1 species